UGAGCUCCAGCGAUAUAAACUUUACUUUCACUUUCUGAACGACGAUUUCAAAAAUGAAUAUCUACGUGCUUUUGUUGAGACUCGAGUUCGACAGGAAGGGGAAAUGAGUCAGUCUCUUCCUGGAUCUAUUCACUCAGAGCACAGGAUGAGCAGCGCCCCCUGCUGGCCUCACUAACACCUCUUCCAGCAGCAGCCUAGUCUUCCAGGAGUCUCCUAUCCAGUCCUGACCAGACUCAACCCUGCUUAACUUCAGUCUUGGCCUACAGGGUCAUUCGGCUCCUGCUAUUUUGCAUUUCCUUAGAUUUAAUCUAAGGCUGUGGCUGGAAGUCAGUUGUAGUUAUUGUGUUUCUGCUCAUAUCUUCUCUUUUUUUCUGUCUAAACAUGUUACUUCAGUUGAUGGUUUUCUACUGUUAUUUCCAUUAAUGUUAAGGAAAAAAUGCAUGGCCAGCAUAUUUUUACCAUUAUGUCUGUAAGAUAUAAAUGCUGAAUGUUUGUCAAUACAGGGAGACUCUGGAGGUCCAGUGCUCAGUAGGAACGGUUCCCCGUGGAUUCAGUCCGGCAUUUCGUUUUACUGAAUACCAUUUUUCUUGAUACCAGGAUCCAAUUGAAAUCAGGGACUUUAUUUACUUCUCUAUAUUCUAAACCAACGGAUAAAAAUAGUAUUCUUCAUGCUGCGAGUGCUCAUCCACCUUUUUUAAAAAAAGGACUUCCUUAUACUCAAUUUCUUCGAUUAAAACGUAUCUGUAAUGUUGAAUCAGAUUUUGAACAACAAGUGGUGAUAAUGUACAAGCGUUUUAUCCUUAGAGGUUACCCGGAAAUAUGGUUAGAUGUUGCUUUGAAGAGAGUACGAGAAGAGUCUAACACAUCGAUUAAACAAAAGAAGCCUCAUUCCGUAGUCUGUACUACCACUUUUUCUGCGCAUAGUGAAGCGAUUAAGAAUAUUCUAUACAUUGGUACAUACUUACGAGCGAUCCAGUGGGGGAAUGUCUUUUUGCGGAUCCGCCACUUUUUUCACAUUAUAGAGCCAGAAAUAUUAGAGAUUUUUUGGUCAAAUCUAAUACUUUCAUUAAGGCUAAUUCUCAGAUACGUAUAGAUAAGGACAUUGGGUUUUUUCCUUGCCUUAGGUGUGCGGCAUGUAGGAACAUUCGUAGAUGAUGUUUUUCUUUUCGGAGUAGUGUAACGAAUCAUACGUAUAAGAUUAAACAAUUUGUGACAUGUGCUUCUACUAAUGUAAUAUAUCUGUUGACUAGUCCAUGCGAGAAACAAUAUAUAGGCAAGAUGAACAGAAAAGUUAGGACACGUAUCAUUGAACAUAUGAGUGCGAUCAGAAGAAGUGACCAGAAAUCUCCAGUUGCCCGUCAUUUUAAUGAUAUGUUGCAUUAAGUUUCGGAUCUAGAUUUUGUGGUAAUUGAGCACAUUACAUCGUCGCGUAGAGGUGGUAAUAUAGAGCGGAAACUUUUACAGAGAGAGUGCAAAUGGAUUUUUGAUCUAAAGUGUUUACAUCCUUUAGGUAUGAACGAAGAACUGAUUCUCAAUUGUUUUUUGUAAAUUUUCAUUGUUUUGGUAAAUUUACACACACUGGAUCUUUUGCUUCAAAAUCAUGUUUGUAAUUAUGUAUUUCAGUAUGAAUACAUAAUCAUAAAAUUUAUUAUAAUCAUGUGGGUGUAUAUUUCUCUAUUUGUACGUUUUUCAUGAUUAUGUAUUCCAAUUGUGAUGUUCAUAUGAUAGUAUUACAAUGUAUAUUGAUGAUAUUUCGAUAAUAUGAAAAGUAAUAUGUAUUUCUUUGAGCUAAGUUUUUUUUUUUUUUUAAGUGUUGUAUAAUUAUGGGUAUAUCUAUUUACCUUUGUGGUGUGAAUAUUGGAGGUCCUGUCUUCUAUAAUGAUUACAGUAAUAAGCCUAUUAAAUGGAUACAGGUGUAUGCUUGGAAUCAUGGAAUCAGAUAUUAUUCUCAUCAGAUCACUGUAUCAUCACUCUGACUACAACACUCCUGAAUGAAGAUGACAACAGAGAGUGGAGAUGUCAGCUUACUCUCAGAAAUCAACUCCAGACCUCAGUCAGAUACACUGUCAAGUAUUCAGUCAGCAGCUCAAACUCUGAGAAGAAAUCAAGCCAAACUACAGCAGCAGCUCCUACACAAGAUCCAGCUGACACAGCAUCAGAAACUGAAGUCAGUGUGACUGCUGGAUCAUUAUUCAGAGGUACGACACGUUCAUUUCUACUGACAGCUUUACACCAUUAAACUAUCAGUCAGUCUGUAAAUGCUUCGUCAAUAACUGUUCAUAGUUUAAUCCCCUUGACUUCAGUCAUGUCCAGUUUCUCUUCUUAACAAAGUUCAGGAGGAGCAUAUUCAAAUGAUCUACCCAAUCAGCAUAAGAGAAGGCCUAUAAAUACGUAGCCGACUCACCUAUGUUUCUCGACAGUUUUUUCUGCAUCCCUCCACCACCCCGCCUCCUCACACUUGCCUGGUUACUAUCUUAACCAAAGAUACGGAGGAGUACACUGGGUUCGGACGACAUUCCCCGGACAGCACAUCAAAUACGCACACUUUUUAUUCUAUCUAAUCAUUUGUAAGCGUGGACUCGUGAAAUGAAUAAAGUUUGUUG